CUCCUAUAGCCGUUCAAUAUAAAAAGCUGAAAUCUGAAACUUAUUAUUUUCUACUUUCCAUAUGGGUGAUGGUGUAUUGGGGUGGUGGUGGUGGUAGUAUGCUGGUGGUAAAGGUGAAGAGAUGGCGGUUGUGAUUGUGGAGGGCAUAGAGGUGUGAUGUGGUGGCGGUAGAAGUUGGUGGUGGUGGCAUUGGUGCUGUGUAGGGGUAGUGGAGUGGAGGCAAUAUGGGACUUCGCUUCAAACCAUCCCUCACAUGCUUGGGGCGGCAACGGGCAAUUAAUUUUUAGUACUUAAUUUUAAUUUUUAAUUGUAUUCAAAAACAACACCUACUGUGCAUACUAUUAUGCUGUGGCAAAGGUGAAGAGAUAACUGUGGUGAUUGUGGAGGGCAUAGAAAAUGGUGUGAUGACGUGGUGGCGGUUUUAGAAUAGAAGUUGGUGGUGGUGGCAUUGGUGCUGUGUAGGGGUAGUGGAGUGGAGGCAAUAUGGACUUCGCUUCAAACAUCCCGCAAAUGCUUGGGGCGUGCAACGGGCAAUUCAUUUUAGUACUUAAUUUUAAUUUUAAUUGUAUUCAAAAACAACACCUACUGUGCAUACUAUUAUGCUGUGGCAAAGGUGAAGAGAUAACUGUGGUGAUUGUGGAGGGCAUAGAGGUGUGAUGCGGUGGAGGCAAAGGUUGGUGGUGGCGGUAGUGGGGUAGCGGUGGUGGUGGCAUUGGUGCUGUGGAGGGGUAGUGAGGUGGAGGCAAUAUGGGACUUCGCCUCAAACCUUUCCUCACAUGCCGUGGAGGGGUGGGGUGGGGUGGGGUGGGGGGUGGGGGGUUCUUACUGUCUUAUGCUAGUGGUAAAGGUGAAGAGACAGUGAUGGUGAUUGUGGAGGUAGAGGUUGGCGGUGGCUGUAGUGGGGUAUCAGUGGUGGUGGCAUUGGUGCUGGGGUAGUGGAGUGGAGGCAAUAUGGGACUUCGCUUCAAAGCUUCCCUCACAUGCUGGGGGUGGGGGGUUACUAUGCUGGCGGUAAAGGUGAAGAGAUGGCGGUGGUGAUUGUGGAGGGCAUAGAGUUGUGAUGCGGUGGAGGUAAAGGUUGGUGGUGGUGCCAUUGAUGCUGUGGAGGAUAGUGGAGUGGAGGCAAUAUGGGACUUCGCUUCAAACCUUCAGCAUGUGUUCUGUGGAGGGGUAGUGGAGUGGAGGCAAUAUAGGAGUUCGCUUCAAACUUCACAUGCAAGGUGCACUCAACAGCAUAUGCUGCCUACAGGCUGGAGCCACGCACCCACCAAUCCCUAAUAUUCCAAGUCUGUACCACGUUACACAUUUUUGAGUAGAAGUCAACCCCAAAAACUAGUUAUUGAGAUGAAGAUGCCCUCAUACUUGUAUAUUUCACAUUCUUUUUGUCCCCACACAACGUAGGAUUUCGC
rnacentral:lncRNA from 1 species